rnacentral:rRNA from 1 species
UACGGAGGGUGCAAGCGUUAUCCGGAUUCACUGGGCUUAAAGGGUGCGUAGGCGGGCAGGUAAGUCAGUGGUGAAAUCUCCGAGCUUAACUUGGAAACUGCCGUUGAUACUAUCUGUCUUGAAUAUUGUGGAGGUGAGCGGAAUAUGUCAUGUAGCGGUGAAAUGCUUAGAUAUGACAUAGAACACCAAUUGCGAAGGCAGCUCGCUACACAUAUAUUGACUCUGAGGCACGAAAGCGUGGGGAUCAAACAGG